rnacentral:rRNA from 1 species
GGACACGGACCAAGAAGUCUAUCUUACGCGCAAGCCAAUGGGCAUACCACAUACCAUGUGCAGAAGGGCUGCCGGUAUAUUAUAACCAUUAAACCCACAGGCGAAGACAACUCGAUUGUCACGGGAUUACGGGCACGGAUAGGUGGCGCAAGCCCCUUAUAGAACCGAGCCCCUCCAUCCCAGGGUGCUCCGUCACGGGUGCUUGCACCCAGCGGGCAUCCCCGGAGUGCGCAGGAUGUGACCCGAAAGAUGGUGAACUAUGCUUGAUCAGGUCGAAGUCAGGGGAAACCCUGAUGGAGGACCGAAGCAAUUCUGACGUGCAAAUCGAUUGUCAGAGUGAGCAUAGGGGCGAAAG